AGACUACUAGUCAACCUAAAAAUUCAGUUAGCAUUACAUCUCAGCACAAAUAAAGAAUUUGGAUCACUGCCUCGUUAGAUCACCUCUAUUUCUAGCUUGCUGAGUAAAAGGAGCAUUUUUUUACAGCCUAGUUUGAUAAGUAAAAGGUGUCUUUUUCACCUGCUUGCACUCUGAAUUGUCACUCUCCUUCUUUGUUCCUUUGCAUGCAGCUGUUGUCAGCUUCCGAGUCACAGAACCACUUGCAGGAACGGCUCUGGAGAGUUUUGGAAGAAAGGAGAGAAAAAAGAGGAGCUGCAUUUUUAUUUAACAGAAGAAGGAGAACACAAAGAAAAGAAAGGUGUUCUCAAGAAUGUAGCCUGCAGCCUUGUCAGUUCUCCUUUGGUGAAAUGGAAAUCCACCAGUAUCUGGAAAAUAAAUCCACUACUCUGAAGAGAAAGCUGGCUACCUUAGUGGUAAAUUGUUGUAUAGCUAACCAUCUGCUAACCCUCAUUAAUCAUUCACCUGCACUGAUCCCGCCAAACAUUAACAUGAAUUUGUAAAUGUGCAUUUAUAAGGUAAGAUUCUAAGAGAAAGGAAGGAAUCUGUUAGACUAUCUGUUUCUCGAGGAAAGCUAUCACUGUUGCUUGGUGUAAGGCUUCUCAACCUCUUGGGUUCUCACACCUUCUGCUAGAAUUGGAACUAGAGGAAUUAGGAUCUAAUCUUAUAGCUCUUUUGCAUACUUGAUUUCAUCUGUGAAUUACUCUACUUCUACUGUAAGGAUAAAAUCUCUCUGCUUUAAUCAGAGAUGAAAAAUAUAGGAUGGUUUAGAAAUUUUUACUUGUAAAAAUAACAUUUGGCAUUGCUUCUGGUCUCUGAGGCAUACCUAAGCUCUCUGCUUCGGCUAGACACUCCUCUGACCCAUUACUGCUUCCCACCCAGCAGUUCCCACACAAGCAAUCCUUAAUUCUUCUUUGGUGUCUCAGGUGGUGGUAGACUCCAGAGUAUAUUCUCUGAUAUUCUUAGCAGCUUGGCCUAAGAUAAGGAACAGCUCUCUAUAAGGAACAGCUACAAGAAGAAAGGAGGAUGAAGUAUUCCAUGAUGGGAAGAGGAAUGUUUCCAGUAAGGGACUUAAAAAAGUCUUUUGAUGUCAGCGAUAUCAUGUACAUAUGUUGGAGCGGGAAACAGGAAAGGCUUGAAUUCUGAAAUAAAGAUAGUAUUUGGAUCCA
rnacentral:lncRNA from 1 species